rnacentral:rRNA from 1 species
AUACGUAGGGGGCGAGCGUUGUCCGGAAUUAUUGGGCGUAAAGGGCGCGUAGGCGGCCCGGUAAGUCUGGAGUGAAAGUCCUGUUUUUAAGAUGGGAAUUGCUUUGGAUACUGUCGGGCUUGAGUGCAGGAGAGGUAAGUGGAAUUCCCAGUGUAGUGGUGAAAUGCGUAGAGAUUGGGAGGAACACCAGUGGCGAAGGCGACUUACUGGACUGUAACUGACGCUGAGGCGCGAAAGUGUGGGGAGCAAACAGGAUUAGAUACCCUGGUAGUCCACACUGUAAACGAUGAAUGCUAGGUGUAGGGGGUAUCGACCCCUUCUGUGCCGCAGUCAACACAAUAAGCAUUCCGCCUGGGGAGUACGGCCGCAAGGUUGAAACUCAAAUGAAUUGACGGGG